rnacentral:rRNA from 1 species
UACAGAGGAUGCAAGCGUUAUCCGGAAUGAUUGGGCGUAAAGCGUCUGUAGGUGGCUUUUUAAGUCCGCCGUCAAAUCCCAGGGCUCAACCCUGGACAGGCGGUGGAAACUACCAAGCUGGAGUACGGUAGGGGCAGAGGGAAUUUCCGGUGGAGCGGUGAAAUGCGCAGAUAUCAGGAGGAACACCGAUGGCGAAGGCAGGUCUCUGGGCCAUAACUGACGCUGAGAAGCGAAAGCAUGGGGAGCGAACAGG